rfam:Pteropus alecto contig55542, whole genome shotgun sequence.
GGUUCCAUAGUGUCACGGUUAGCACAUCUGCUUUAUACGCAGAAAGUCCUGGGUUUGCACCCCAGUGGAGCCA